CUCACAGAUGUCACCUCUCUGGUCACCUGCCUGUGCCUCUGGUGCUCCAGCAGGAAGGAUUGGGCUGAUGAUGGAGCGGAAGGAAAAGAAAAAAAGUGCAGCUCCUCUCAGUUAUCCCGCUUUGGGACAGGGGGCACAGAUGAAGAGCGAGCAAUCAACACGUCAGGAUAAACUUACAUUGCCACGGAGCACAAGGGCCCAGGAGAAGCCAAGAGCCAAGAGGUGGGGAAAUGUGAGCCCGGUGCAGGCACGGCCACCCCUGACUCCUGUCCUGCUGGAUUCCAUGAAAGCCUUUUCCCGACUCCAUAACUGCCUCGCAGAGGGACUCACCAGCACGGCUGAGGUCUGCGUGGAAUUUUGGGGAGGAUAUUGAGUCCGUUCUCCUCCUGAACCCUCAGGCGCUGCAAUUUGUACCGCGGUGAAUCCUGCGCCGUCGGAUCGCCCCGCUAAGGGCAGGCCUUGGUUCGGACUGAUUGAGGAUAAAAUCCAUUUUCUCUGGGAGUAAAAACGUCGAUAGGCACACGCUCAGAGGCUGCUGUAACCCUUGUGGCACACCUGAUCCCCCCUGUAAGGAGUUUAACCUGGUUCUGCUCGGCCCCAGCGCCAGGACCCGUGUGAGGAGCAUGCCCUGCGCUCUUCCAUCCUCCUGCCAGCAUGUUUCAAAUUAACGCUGCAAUCUCUGAAAUUAAUGAGUUUUCAUCGACCUCGGUGGAAGUGGAUCGGCUCUGAGGCUGCCAGCCCACCCCACCGGCGCUUCACUGAAAUGGUUCAGCGACUUUGAGGCAGGAUUCCUGCCCUGGGAGCGCCUCCAGAACUCGAUAAAGGCUCCCCCAGUGCCCUGCUGCUCCCACAAAGAGGCUCCAUGAUGACAGGCUUCAUUUGUUCUGCGGUAACUCCAGGCUGUUUUGAGCUCCUUUCUCUGCUCCUUUAGCUCAAGCAACCAGUCUAGGAAGCUCUUAUUAGCCCAGGGUUUCCUGAGAGAGGAAGUCCAGCACCUGCUUUUCCCAAAGCCCUAAACGGGGUUGGACAAAUCUGAUUUCCUCCAUUACCAUAACGAGGCAUCUCGAGCAAAACAAUAUUAUUACAGCAGCUCACAGGUGAUGGAGAUGUUCCCAGCCUCUGUAAAUUGGGGUUUUUUUUCUGUGGAAAGCACUGUGAGUCUUGAAGAGGGAGAGUCAAAAAUUGCUGGGGAGACCCUGAGCUCAACCCUGUGGUCCUAGACCACAUUCCCACCCAUGGAAGUACCUUGGAGAGGCUUUUCCAUGGCCCCACACGGUGUGGUUGGAUGGAACAAGACCCAUCACAGACCCAGCCGUACCUGUGCCCCAGCAGUUGGGCUGGGCUGGGUUUGGCUGGGCUGGGCUGAGCUGAUCUGGGUUUGGCUGGGCUGGGUUUGGCUGGGCUGAGCUGGGCUGAUCUGGGUUUGGCU